rnacentral:rRNA from 1 species
AGCAUGUGUGUUAGUGGAAGCGUCUGGAAAGGCGCGCGAUACAGGGUGACAGCCCCGUACACAAAAGCGCAUGUGCUGUGAGCUCGAUGAGUAGGGCGGGACACGUGGUAUCCUGUCUGAAUAUGGGGGGACCAUCCUCCAAGGCUAAAUACUCCUGACUGACCGAUAGUGAACCAGUACCGUGAGGGAAAGGCGAAAAGAACCCCGGCGAGGGGAGUGAAAAAGAACCUGAAACCGUGUACGUACAAGCAGUGGGAGCCCCACCACUAAGCCAGUGGUGAACUCCACAUACGCAUCCUUUGCUGAGGAUACGGUUAACGGAGCGAAAGCGACGUUCAACCUCAAAAGAAGCAGAGGGGGCUUAGUGGUGGGGUGACUGCGUACCUUUUGUAUAAUGGGUCAGCGACUUAUAUUCUGUAGCAAGGUUAACCGAAUAGGGGAGCCGGAGGGAAACCGAGUCUUAAUUGGGCGUUAAGUUGCAGGGUAUAGACCCGAAACCCGGUGAUCUAGCCAUGGG